AUAUUUCCAAAUGAUUAACGAACAAAUGUUUUUUGUUUUGUUUUUUAGACUGGUAACCCGCGAAUGAUUAAAUGUCGAGAAAUGUCAUAUCCUACCAGAAAAGGCGUACCAUUGAAAAAGACAUAGCAAUCAGGGUUCCGUUUCUCAAUGAAGUGCAGCAGCAGCCGGCUUUAAUCGAUGGGACGACGCACACGCACCAUUUGAUUAAGACUUCACUCACUAAGUCCCUUUUCCUGUUGGAUUUUGGCAUUGUAAUAUUCGGAGGCCAAUGUCACUUUCGAUCCACGUCGGGAAGCCGGGCGAAAAUACUUAAAAAUUUAAAAGAGAAAUAAUAAAAUAUAUACACAAUAUUAAA